rnacentral:misc_RNA from 1 species
GAAAAAGCGCUCUUUUCCGGCUAUUAUCCAUCCCAAGAGGAUGACCAUUUUUCGUCACUGUAACUUGCAACCAGCACACUCUUGUUCAUAGCGUAUUUCACUGGAGACCCUCGCCCAUCAAUUGGCAUAAACUUAACUGAGAUGGGGCGUUGAAAAGUAGCAGCUACUUAGCCUAUCAUGGUCGCUGAUUCGUGAUGUUAAGGGAGAUGGCGUGAAGGUUACGCGGCUGCUCUCGGUAAAUGCUUAGUGAUAAAGGCUGAAUUAUGGGUAUUUGGGAAGGUUCAAAGCUUGCAUGGAAUAUAGGCAUUCGUCAGCUUCUUGUUGAAUGUGACAACAUGAGUGUGCUUACCAUCUUAAAUGGCAGAGGGGAUACUUCUCCCAGUCUUCAAUCCUUAGUGGUGCCCAUGAAAGAUCACAAGCUCAUAAGUUUAUUUUCCACUAAACUAAUGGACUUUCUUCUUUUAAAUAUUCUCUUUCGUUAUCUUGCAAACAUUACUUUUAAAAAAAUUGACAAUAACAGUUAUUUGGCGGAUCGUGAAUUUAUAGAAAAAGAUAAAAAGGAAUGAACAGAAAUGGUUGCCUGACUUGCACAAAUGAUAGUUUUAGCAAAAGAAUAGCCCCAGGAUCUAUAUUCUCCUGCAGCUAAAGAAUGUCGGUCAUGCAUAAACUCAUGGCAACAACGCAACAGAGCAUAAUUCCACAUAUCAUGAUUGUUCAAAUAUUGGCAUUUUGGCUUUGUUUCUCACGGUUUUCCUCCACAAUUUUCUGAAACUCUAUCUCACUAGUUGCAAUCAGACGUUUCACCAUGUCAAAGGCAGUAAGCCUAAUGCUGCUAUUUGGUAGGUUUUUUAAUGCAUUUGGCACGAAACCCCUAUAUAAGCCAAUAACUCCAUCGCUUUGAAUGAUUCCUUGAAGGGCAUCCAAAACUGUCUUGUAAGGCGUUCCCUUCAUUUGCAUUUGUCUUCUAAUUGUGUCCAAAGGAUAACACGUGAGCGUUGCAACACCAGCAGAUGCCACAGCUGUCAGCAAAGAUGACUGAGCUGUCUGUUGAUACUUCUCAGGCAAAGACUUCUUAACCAAGUCAAAAAUGCAAAAGUUCACAGCAAUAUAUGGAGCAAUGCCAAUAAGAGAAGGCCCGAGACCAUAAUAAAAUGCUGCAAUUCCUUCCUCACUUAACAUGCUUAAGGCAAUCUGGAUAAAUCAUUUAAACCCACCAUAGAAUAAACAGAGCAUCUAGUCAUACACAAAAUAAAAAAUUCAAGUGGUCAACCAUACCUCAGACAUAGUUCGAUGCCCUGGUUCAACUGCUAGGCGUAGUCUCAGAACAUCCAAAGGGUAUGUAACCUAGACAAAUAAAAGAGGGGGGGAAGCGAAAAGAAAGAAAGACAUCUAAGAUUCAAAUGCACACAUAGUCCAUGUAACAGUGCUAUGAAAAUGAGCUCGCAAAAGGAGGGGAAAUUUGAGAUGACUAUUCAUAAAGUAAAUUUUCAAAGCAGAACAGAAUUCACACAUUAUAUUGAUCAUUAACAAAUUAUUUUUGAGGUAAGUAAACUGAAGCCCAACAGGUAGCAAUUUCAAGAACAGAAUUUUGCAUGCCGGUUACUAACUUACGAAAGUGGAAGUCAUGCCUGCACAAGCACCUGCCGCAAGUCUUCCAACAACAGAGAGCUUACCAUCCUUUCCCACAAACAGUUUCUUGUAAGUUUCGUAAGCAAAGAGUUGGACAGCACUAUAAGGUAUGAUCCGAAUCACCUGAGGGAGGUUUCCUUUCCAGUACCCUUUUAUUCCUUCUUCUUUCCCUAUCAAUGUUAUGGCCUCAAUGAAACCAAUUGCCUUCUUAGCACUUUCUCGCCCAGCCCGCACACCAUGAGUCUGCAUAAGAAGCUUAAUACGGUCAAGUGGAGCCGUGGCAGUCUUGGCCGCAGUACCAGCGAUUGCGCCGGCAACAAAAAUCGCGGCGUCUCUUGGCACGUAACUGAGAACAGCCAACGGAUGCUUCAACAGCUGAGCCGAACUGGGAGCGAACUCAAACUUAUCUCCCUUUUCCGCCAUUGAAAUGGAGGCAAAAUUACCAAAACUUCCAACACCACCAUCGACACUGAAGCUGAGAUGCGCUCUCUUCCACAGCGGCUCAUGGUCCGUGGGCUCAGUGAGAGUACACAGUGAGGUUUUCAGGUUUGGUCUGCUUCGAAACGACAAGACGGCACUUUGUUCUGCCAUGGUUAGAUUGGAAUUUUUUUCUUAAGGGGUUAGGAUUAGAGGAAAGAUAAGGCAUUUACAGGUGCUUACUGGGAGGGAGAGAAGAACAACGAACCACCGAGGAGGACGAUCCGUUGUUUAUAUGCCUUAUGUACCUGUUUCGAUCCCCUGUGUGCUGAUCUAUAUAAGGAAAUUGAAGAUU